GAUGAACGCUAGCGGCAGGCCUAAUACAUGCAAGUCGAACGAGAUUGUUGUAGCAAUAUGACAUGAAAGUGGCGCACGGGUGCGUAACACGUAUGCAAUCUACCUUUGAUAGGGGAAUAGCUUCGAGAAAUCGGAAUUAAUACCCCAUAACAUAUUCGAGUGGCAUCACUUGAUUAUCAAACCUCCGGGGAUCAAAGAUGAGCAUGCGCAACAUUAGCUAGUUGGUGAGGUAACGGCUCACCAAGGCUACGAUGUUUAGGGGGUCUGAGAGGAUGAUCCCCCACACUGGUACUGAGACACGGACCAGACUCCUACGGGAGGCAGCAGUAGGGAAUAUUGGUCAAUGGAGGCAACUCUGAACCGGCCAUGCCGCGUGCAGGAUGACGGCCCUCUGGGUUGUAAACUGCUUUUAUACGGGAAGAAAAAGAGCUACGUGUAGCUUAUUGACGGUACCGUAAGAAUAAGGAUCGGCUAACUCCGUGCCAGCCGCCGCUGUAACAC
rnacentral:rRNA from 1 species